AGCGAACGCUGGCGGCAGGCCUAACACAUGCAAGUCGAACGAACCUUUCGGGGUUAGUGGCGGACGGGUGAGUAACACGUGGGAACGUGCCUUUAGGUUCGGAAUAACUCAGGGAAACUUGUGCUAAUACCGAAUGUGCCCUUCGGGGGAAAGAUUAAUCGCCUUUAGAGCGGCCCGCGUCUGAUUAGCUAGUUGGUUGAGGUAAUGGCUCACCAAGGCGACGAUCAGUAGCUGGUCUGAGAGGAUGAUCAGCCACAUUGGGACUGAGACACGGCCCAAACUCCUACGGGAGGCAGCAGUGGGGAAUCUUGCGCAAUGGGCGAAAGCCUGACGCAGCCAUGCCGCGUGAAUGAUGAAGGUCUUAGGAUUGUAAAAUUCUUUCACCGGGGACGAUAAUGACGGUACCCGGAGAAGAAGCCCCCGCUAACUUCGUG
rnacentral:rRNA from 1 species